CCCCAGCAAAACCUUUAUGAACAGAAUGUGGACUGAUGACAAUCAAAUAUGCACCACAUUCUUGAACAACUGCACGUACCAAACUUGUCUUUCCAGUUCCUGGUGGACCAUACAGAAGCAAACCUCUUGGCCAUUUAAUACCCAGCCUCUUGGCUUCAUAAGGAUAAAGAAGAGGGAAAGUGAUGAGUUCUCUUAGAGCUUCAAGGGCCACUUUAUUUCCAGCAAUUGCUUCUUCAGCCCUCCACUCCUUUAUCUUAUUUUGAUUUAUGUUGUUGCUGUUGCUGCUGCUGUGUGUUUCCAUCUACACUAAACAGCGACACGAUUGGGAAAGUGGAUUCAGUUCAAUUACGACAACCACGGUGAUGGCUUCAAAGUGAUGAACGACGACGACGGCGACGCCAAGGCAGAAAGCGAGGGUUGGAACGGCUACGGUGAACAGCAGUGAAGGAAAACGGCGGCAG
rnacentral:misc_RNA from 1 species